UAAGGCCACCAUUGUUCGGCUGCAGCAGUGAACGGGAAAAUUGCACUUUGGAGAAACUAAAGCUCGGCGAAAUUAGAGCAAAAGAUAUAAAUCUUCAAUAAAAGCCAUCCUUUGAAAAAUAUCUACUUGAGCACCAUUGGUGGUAAAUAAAUUAAUAUAAAAACUCGGUUUGUGUCUGGUCAUCGCUGUUUUGAUCGCCUUGUCUUAUCAACACAUCCAUCAAUAGCAAAAUCCUCUCUAAGCCAAAUUCUAAUAUGUAAAUUCAAUGCGAUUGAAUGGGAGUUACACAAGUGUUGAGAUUCGCAAAAUUAACAAAUCAAAACCGGUAAAAUAUUCGUUAUACCUUCGAAAUGCUUCACACGUCAGUGAAUAAUGUGCUGAUGCUGCACUUGAUUUGUGCCACUGGAAAAGGAGGGAAAAUCAGAAAUGGAAAAAUGCCCUUAAAAGCUAAUGAGUUUCAAAUAAAUAUAAUAAAUGUAUGCACGUGUGCAAGGAUAUAAAAUGCAAAAUCAGUAGGACAGGAUAGACCAAAAAAUCCAAAAACAAAUGAACAAAAUGGCACACUAAAGUUUACAAAUGCAAAUAAGAUACUAAGCAAAGUCAGCAGCUACAAAUAUGUCAUAAGGCCAGGGAAAGAGACAGCCACAUGCGACAGACAGAGAUGGAAGCGGAAGCAGAUAGACAGAUGCAAAUGAAAGGAAAGAGACGGGUAGACGGCUAGUGAAAGGGAGAGCACGAGCUGACAAACGAAAACAUUUAUGAGCGCUUCGUCCGUCUGUUGUUGACUUUUACAAAAGAAUUGUAGAAUAUUUUUUAGCUAUAUGUGGGUAUGCAAAAUAUUCCACGACAUUCAAAUGCACCGAAAAAAACGAACUCUCGAAACAAAAAAAGACGUUUUAAACAAUUUUAAUGACUAUUAAACUAACCUUAAGUUUGCAAUCUUGCACUUAAUACUUAACUUUAAAACAGCUAAAUAUUAUAUGUUUGAUCUUCAAGGACAUAAACUUUUGCUAUGAAAACGAUUAUUAUGAAAAUCUAGGAUACGAAGAAGUCCUCCUUUUUUCCUGUGCACGUGUUUGGCACACGCAUACACAUGUAGCUACAAGCUGUAGCUCAAACACAGGAAAUGUAAUUUGCAUAAGAAUAACACACAGACAUGGGGUAGGGAAAUUGGGGAAAUUGGGGAAAACAGGAGGCGAAUCGGGGCGAAAACCAUGUGAAUGUGGCUGCCAAGAUAUAGAGGGGCAUAUGGCACACAUAUUGAAGUGUAGUCUAUAUGGGAUGCGAGGGGCGGAGCCUGAAGUGUCCUUUAACGAGAUUUGCAUCUCAUCAUAAUAAUGUAAAUGACGAAGAGGGCCAACAGAGGAAAAUGUAUGGGGUAAGCAACAUUUUGGCCUGGCCGCAGCACAAGUUUGGCCAAAAGGGUUUUCUAUUUAAGGCGGGAUUACAUACAUUACAUAUCGCAAUGAGGCCCAUUCACUUUGGCUCAACGGAGACGAAGCGAUUCAAUUAGCCUAACCACUUUGGACUUCAAUUGGAAUUUGGCCCCGGCAGCAACAGUUGAAGUUGCACAAUUAAAGUCGGGUAAUCCUGGAUAAAACCCAAUGUAUUUGGCUCAUGUGCCACAGGCAGAACACAGGCAGGAAUUUUGAUUGCCUCAUAGUAAAGUACAUAGAAAUGUUCUACUCGCUUCAUGGUAUUGAAUGAAAGUGAUGUUUUUGAAAUAAAUGUCUUGUUUGUUUGCUUUCAAUCCGAUUUGAAACAUUUUUCAUUGUGUAGGAAAGUCAAGCUCUCAAAAACAGACGUCUUGUGGUCAUUAAGAGAAUUGGCAAAAAUAAAUCGAUUACAGCAGCUGAGUUUUAAGUGGAACAUUUUAAAAGUGGAUUUAAAAUAUCUGGAAUUGAUGGCACUUUCUCCCUCUUAAGUAAACUUAAUUUAUUUUAUUUUUAGAAUGUGCAAUCUCGCUGAUU